rnacentral:rRNA from 1 species
UGCGAAGGUGUGCUGUGAGGCAUGCUGGAGGUAUCAGAAGUGCGAAUGCUGACAUAAGUAACGAUAAAGCGGGUGAAAAGCCCGCUCGCCGGAAGACCAAGGGUUCCUGUCCAACGUUAAUCGGGGCAGGGUGAGUCGACCCCUAAGGCGAGGCCGAAAGGCGUAGUCGAUGGGAAACAGGUUAAUAUUCCUGUACUUGGUGUUACUGCGAAGGGGGGACGGAGAAGGCUAUGUUGGCCGGGCGACGGUUGUCCCGGUUUAAGCGUGUAGGCUGGUUUUCCAGGCAAAUCCGGAAAAUCAAGGCUGAGGCGUGAUGACGAGGCACUACGGUGCUGAAGCAACAAAUGCCCUGCUUCCAGGAAAAGCCUCUAAGCAUCAGGUAACAUCAAAUCGUACCCCAAACCGACACAGGUGGUCAGGUAGAGAAUACCAAGGCGCUUGAGAGAACUCGGGUGAAGGAACUAGGCAAAAUGGUGCCGUAACUUCGGGAGAAGGCACGCUGAUAUGUAGGUGAAGCGACUUGCUCGUGGAGCUGAAAUCAGUCGAAGAUACCAGCUGGCUGCAACUGUUUAUUAAAAACACAGCACUGUGCAAACACGAAAGUGGACGUAUACGGUGUGACGCCUGCCCGGUGCCGGAAGGUUAAUUGAUGGGGUCAGCGCAAGCGAAGCUCUUGAUCGAAGCCCCGGUAAACGGCGGCCGUAACUAUAACGGUCCUAAGGUAGCGAAAUUCCUUGUCGGGUAAGUUCCGACCUGCACGAAUGGCGUAAUGAUGGCCAGGCUGUCUCCACCCGAGACUCAGUGAAAUUGAACUCGCUGUGAAGAUGCAGUGUACCCGCGGCAAGACGGAAAGACCCCGUGAACCUUUACUAUAGCUUGACACUGAACAUUGAGCCUUGAUGUGUAGGAUAGGUGGGAGGCUUUGAAGUGUGGACGCCAGUCUGCAUGGAGCCGACCUUGAAAUACCACCCUUUAAUGUUUGAUGUUCUAACGUGGACCCGUAAUCCGGGUUGCGGACAGUGUCUGGUGGGUAGUUUGACUGGGGCGGUCUCCUCCUAAAGAGUAACGGAGGAGCACGAAGGUUGGCUAAUCCUGGUCGGACAUCAGGAGGUUAGUGCAAUGGCAUAAGCCAGCUUGACUGCGAGCGUGACGGCGCGAGCAGGUGCGAAAGCAGGUCAUAGUGAUCCGGUGGUUCUGAAUGGAAGGGCCAUCGCUCAACGGAUAAAAGGUACUCCGGGGAUAACAGGCUGAUACCGCCCAAGAGUUCAUAUCGACGGCGGUGUUUGGCACCUCGAUGUCGGCUCAUCACAUCCUGGGGCUGAAGUAGGUCCCAAGGGUAUGGCUGUUCGCCAUUUAAAGUGGUACGCGAGCUGGGUUUAGAACGUCGUGAGACAGUUCGGUCCCUAUCUGCCGUGGGCGCUGGAGAACUGAGGGGGGCUGCUCCUAGUACGAGAGGACCGGAGUGGACGCAUCACUGGUGUUCGGGUUGUCAUGCCAAUGGCACUGCCCGGUAGCUAAAUGCGGAAGAGAUAAGUGCUGAAAGCAUCUAAGCACGAAACUUGCCCCGAGAUGAGUUCU